rnacentral:lncRNA from 1 species
AUGUUGGAUGUUAUUUAGAUUUAUUGUGUUGUUGAAUUUAAUUUUUUUUUCUAUAGAUUGAAUGAGUUUAGGUUAGAAAUUGGAUGAAUUUAGGUAUUAGAAAAUAGAUUGAAACAAUUUUUAUUUAUUAUUUGUAUAAAAUUUGCAUUGUUAGUAUGUUAUAUAUUUGUAUUUGACUAUUUUCUUUCUUAAAGCUUGAGAUUGAAUGAGUUUAUUUGACUAUUUUCUUUUUUAAGAUUUGCAUUGUUAGAGAAAUGAAAGAAAAAAUUGAAGACAUGCAGGCUUAGAAGCCCGGAAUCGGGAGCUACCAGGCUUGUGCCCGGACCGCACGUGUAAAAGCCGAGCUUAACCCAGGGCCGAGUUGCCAUUUCACUCACUUGGUCCGGUCCCAGGCAGCACCAAACCCGGAUCGGACCCGGGGUUUUGCCAAGCCUAAGGUAAAGGGUGUGAAAUAAGUAGACCACCAAGAACUAUACAAGCCAACCUUUGGCUUUAUGAAGAAAUAUACAAUCGGCAGCCAAGAGGGAUUGAAGAGAGAGUAGCCGCAAGAAGAAGAAGAAAAGGGGAGAAGUCGAAAGGAAUUAAAUUGGUGCAGAGUCAGCCCUUUGAAUUAAUCUCCAUGAUUGGUUUUAUCAACUCUUUUAUUUCUAGUUCAAUUAUGUUAGGUUAGAUUUUCUAUUUGGCUGAGGGUGAAUUCAAAACCCCAAACAUGUCAUAUGAUUAACGUUCAAUUUCUAUCAUUCAAUUUAUUUAAUUGAGAUUGUUUAUGUUUUUAUAUAAUUAAUGUCUAUGAUUUUAUUCUUGUCUUAUUUGAGUGGCCAAUUAGAUAGGACUUGAAUAAAUUCUAUUACUAGGUUAAAUUCUUGAUCCGUAAUUGUUUUGAUAUUUUAAGGGAAAUUAUCAUUCGUAUACCCUUAGUUUACUCCGUUAUAAAAAAUACUACAACACUUUGAGUGUGUAUCAAUCGUACACCUUAAGUUGACAAAAUGUAUUUGCCGUCCACUAAAUCAUUACUUGUCAUUUAAAUAUGAUGACGUCAGAGGGGUAAUAUAGUCUUCUCAUAUGAUACAAGUGAAAAUUUAAGGGUAUACAAGUGAUAAUAAGAGAAUUUAAGGGUAUACAAGUGAUAAUAAGAGAUUUUAAGGGUAUAUAAGUGAUAAUUUUUCUUUACUUUAAUUGAAGUUUCAAGGGUAAAAUCGUCAAUUUGCUAUAAUUCCGUUAACUUUCAAACGACAGCUAACAGUUUAGUGGUCGACAAAUAGCUUUUGUCAAUUUAGAGUGGACAAUUGAUACACCCUCAAAGUAUUGUAGUAUUUUUUAUAACAUUGUAAAUAUAGGGUAUACAAAUGAUAAUUUCCCAUAUUUUAAUCAUCCGUAGCAGGUUGGAAUCAGUGAUUUCAAUUGGAGAACAUAACCUAAGUUAAAUAAUCUAAGUUUGUGUGUUUAUUGCCUAGAUUAACCUAAUGUCUUUCUCUACUUCCAUUAUCUUAAAUUUACAGAGCUCGUUUCAAUUUAUUUAAUGGUUAGAGAUUAUGUGAAAAGUUUAUUUUACCUAAUGACACAUUAAGGAAAGAUUGAGACUAACAAAACUUAUUGUUGUCUACGGUUGAUAGUUUCAAUAGAAAUUGAUGAUAGGAUUGAUAUAUUAUAUGCAUGUUUGGUGGUGGCGGCGAAUGAUCCUUUGACCAAAAUUUUCAUCAUUAUUAUUUCUUUCUCCUUAAUUAGAGUUUUUAUUAAAUUAUUGUUUUUGUAGUUUUAAUUUCUUUAUUUCCUGCUAUUUAGUUAAAAAUCAUAAACCCCCCUUUUUAUUUAUAAUUGGCAUUUUCUUUAGUUAGAUUAAUUUAUAUUCUUCUUCUUCUUACUACUACUACUACUAUUAUUAUUUUAUUUUAAGUCUUGCUUUAGAGUUGAUAAUAAAUAUAACUAGCAUAGUCUUCAUGGGAUCAAUCCUUACUUGCUAUGUACUGGUUGUUUAUAUUAUUAGUAAGGUUUUAAAUUUAGUGCACCAUAACAACACUACUAGGAUGUAAUGUAGGCUAGGAAAAUGGUUAACAAAGAAGGGAUAAUAGGAAGAACAAAAUAUAUGUUUGAGAAAAAAUAUAAAUCUUUUGGAAAUUGCAAGAUACUUU